rnacentral:misc_RNA from 1 species
GUUAGAUCCAGAUUUGCUGUAAUAAAAUCACCGACAACCGCGUACCAGAACUGUAUAAAAAUGGAGGCAACUUGAUUCUAGGAUUGUUAUGUUCGAGGUUGAUAGCUAGAUAUAUCAUUCCGUUGAUUGCUUUGUAAGAAAAAUUCCAAAUGGGGCCUAUUUGUUGGUAUUCUUUGCUCAUUUUAGUUUUGUUUUUGGAGGGGAUUAACGGUCAACUUAACGGUUGGCUUCAAGCUCAUGCCACCUUCUAUGGUGCCAAUCAAAAUCCUAGCACUCUCGGAGGAGCAUGUGGAUAUGAUAAUACAUUUCAUGCUGGGUUUGGAGUGCACACAACAGCAGUGAGUGGUGCACUUUUUAGAAACGGAGAGGCCUGUGGAGCUUGCUAUCAAGUCAUGUGCGACUUUAAGGCUGACCCCAAGUGGUGUCUCCGACGUGGAGUUGUGACGGUAACCACCACCAAUUUCUGCCCAGCUAACAAUAAUGGAGGAUGGUGUGAUCCUCCUCGCCACCACUUCGACAUGUCCAUGCCUGCUUUUCUUCGCAUCGCCAAACAAGGCAAUGAAGGCAUUGUUCCUGUACUCUACAGAAGGGUGGCAUGCAAGAGAAGAGGAGGAGUUCAUUUCACGUUGAGAGGACAAUCGAAUUUCAAUUUGAUAAUGAUAUCCAAUGUUGGAGGCAGUGGUGAUAUUGAAGCUGCAUGGGUUAGAGGAUCUAGGUCAAGAUCAUGGGUGCCAAUGCGCAGGAACUGGGGUGCAAAUUGGCAAAGCAAUGUUGACCUUCGAAGCCAAACGUUGUCGUUUAAGCUCACUUUGGUUGAUGGAAAAACACUUGAAUUCUUCAAUGUUGUUCCUUCAACAUGGAGGUUUGGACAGACAUUUUCUUCACAAAAUCAAUUCUCUUAGAAGAAUAAACUUGCAUGUCCUAGAACAGCCAUUUUUUGCACUGUUACAGGACAUGUAUAGUUAAUAUUAAUUAAAUAUUUGUAUUCAGUUAAUAUUUUUUUAAAAAAAGAUUACACAUAUGCAUACAACUCCAAAAAAAUAGGAGUUUAAUUAUGCCGUCUUUGUAUUUUGAUUGAAUGUUAUCA